rnacentral:rRNA from 1 species
UACGAAGGGGGCUAGCGUUGUUCGGAUUUACUGGGCGUAAAGCGCACGUAGGCGGACUUUUAAGUCAGGGGUGAAAUCCCGGGGCUCAACCCCGGAACUGCCUUUGAUACUGGAAGUCUUGAGUUCGAGAGAGGUGAGUGGAACUGCGAGUGUAGAGGUGAAAUUCGUAGAUAUUCGCAAGAACACCAGUGGCGAAGGCGGCUCACUGGCCCGAUACUGACGCUGAGGCACGAAAGCGUGGGGAGCAAACAGG